rnacentral:rRNA from 1 species
AUUGAACGCUGGCGGAAUGCUUUACACAUGCAAGUCGAACGGCAGCACGGGGGCAGCCCUGGUGGCGAGUGGCGAACGGGUGAGUAAUGCAUCGGAACGUGCCCGGUCGUGGGGGAUAACGUAGCGAAAGUUACGCUAAUACCGCAUACGAUCUGAGGAUGAAAGCGGGGGACCUUCGGGCCUCGCGCGAUCGGAGCGGCCGAUGUCAGAUUAGGUAGUUGGUGGGGUAAAGGCCUACCAAGCCGACGAUCUGUAGCUGGUCUGAAAGGACGACCAGCCACACUGGGACUGAGACACGGCCCAGACUCCUACGGGAGGCAGCAGUGGGGAAUUUUGGACAAUGGGCGCAAGCCUGAUCCAGCCAUUCCGCGUGCAGGACGAAGGCCUUCGGGUUGUAAACUGCUUUUGUACGGAACGAAAAGGCUCUGGCUAAUACCUGGGGCUCAUGACGGUACCGUAAGAAUAAGCACCGGCUAACUACGUG